AUGGUGGGCGGUGAAACAGAGA
rnacentral:piRNA from 1 species